rnacentral:misc_RNA from 1 species
AACUCGUGGAAAAAAGUGGAUUUUAAAAUAAUAAGGAAUAAUAAUACAUUUAUUUAUUCUUAGUUAAAACAUAGAUAGAAUUGAAUAGAUUAUAAUAUUAAAAGACAAUUUCUCUCUGAUGUGUGUGUCUGUGCUUUACUCUAUUCUUUGUUCGUAGUAGUACUAUUGAAUUAUAUUUUAAUAGAGCAGUGAUUUCGUUAGUUGUAGAAGUGAAAAAUGAGGCCUUGAGAAGAAGCAACCCCACAUCGUCGUCGUCGCCGCCGCCAUCUCCAUUACUCUUCAUUCUCCUCAAAUACAUUAUUUGCAUUUUCACCCUCCAUUCCCUUCUUAAGAGAGAGAAGAGUGGAGUCGAUACGAGUCGAGGGUACCGUACACACACAUAGCCUUCUUACUACUAAGGGACGAAUCUCUGUAGGAGGAUGUUUGAUCCAGAUCCUUCAGUAGAGAUUCAUCAAAGAAGGAUCCUAGAAGGGGUGGAAGAAGAGGAGGAAGAAGAAGAAGAAGAAGAAGAGGAGGAGGAGGAAGAAGAUGAUGAUGAGGACAAUGAUUCAUCGCCUGGUCUUUCUGUUCGAUAUCAACCUCGUCAGGGUACAAAUGAAGAAGAUAAAAUCAUUCUUCAUUCACGGCGCGUUAGAUUAGAUACGGGUGACGGGGUCGUUAUGGAGGAGGAUGAGAUCAAAGGGGGCGGUGGUGAUGAAUGGGAGGACUACGGGUCAUCUCAUACAAAUAAUCCACCAACCAAUAAUGGAGGAGCUUAUCCACCUCGAAACACUCAUCCAUACGACACCAAUAAACCCAUAGAAAAAAAACCAAUUCGACGGAUAGGUGCCAAACCGCCUCCGGAUCGAGCUCCACGUUCUAUUUAUUGCUGGACCAUCAAAAAUCCUAUUCGCAAACGAUUUAUUCAAUUUGUGGAAUGGAAGCCUUUUGAAUUCCUCAUUCUUCUCACUAUUUUGGGCAAUUGUGUCGCCUUGGCCAUUUAUACGCCAUUUCCGGCCGAAGAUACAAACGAAACCAAUCAGAUCUUAGAAAAAGUAGAAUAUAUAUUUUUAGUAAUUUUUACGACUGAAUGUGUCAUGAAGAUCAUAGCCUAUGGUUUUUGGCAACAUCCCACUGCUUAUUUACGAAGCGCAUGGAACAUGCUGGAUUUUACUAUAGUCAUGAUCGGGGUCAUUAGCACAAUUUUAUCAUCACUUCGAAUUGAAGGUUUUGAUGUUAAGGCAUUACGAGCUUUUCGAGUUCUCCGUCCUCUUCGUCUCGUGUCAGGAGUACCGAGUCUUCAAAUCGUACUCAAUAGUAUCAUUAUGGCAAUGAUUCCAUUGCUUCACAUAGCGUUAUUAGUUAUUUUUGUGAUGAUAAUUUAUGCCAUUAUUGGACUAGAACUUUUCUCUGGGAUACUGCACAAGACUUGCUUCCAUAACAUUACGGGAGAAAUGGAAGAAACGGAUAAUCCCACCCUUUGUGGAGGUAACUACAAGUGUGAUGAAGAAGCAGGAUAUGUAUGUAGAGAGUAUUGGGAAGGACCCAACUUUGGUAUUACUAACUUUGAUCAUUUUGGGCUAUCCAUGCUUACUGUCUUCCAAUGUAUUACUCUCGAGGGAUGGACUGAUGUUCUCUAUUGGGUUCAAGAUGCCAUGGGUAGCUCUUGGCAGUUCAUAUAUUUCGUAUCCAUGGUUGUCCUUGGGGCAUUUUUCGUCAUGAAUUUAAUUCUUGGGGUACUCAGUGGAGAAUUUUCUAAGGAGAGAGAGAAGGCUCAAUCCAGAGGUGAUUUUCAAAAACUACGACAAAAAGAACAAAUGGAAGAUGAUCUAGAAGGUUACAUGGAAUGGCUCACUGUGGCUGAGCUUAUUGAGCCCAGUCCUACGGAUGAUAAUAUAGGGGGACUCAAAGUGGAUGUGGGGAAGCAUAAAGGAGAUCCUGUCGUCAUGGGUCUUCUUAAAAGUACAAUGCUACCUCUACAACAAGUCCUGGAAGCAAGAUUGACCAAUGAAGCAGAUGGAAAAGGAGGAGCCUUGGAUGUUGAUGGAACGGGAGAGCCUUCCUCUUGGUUUCAAAAAAAGAAAAAAGCUUUGGAGAAGCUUAAUCGUAGAGCAAGGAGGGUUUGUCGUAAAAUAGUCAAGUCUCAAGCCAUGUUUUGGAUUAUUAUCAUCCUUGUGUUCUUAAAUACAUGCGUACUAGCCACAGAGCACUACAAACAACCCAUUUGGCUGGAUGACUUUCAAGAAUUUACCAAUCUAUUCUUCGUUGUUCUUUUUACAUUUGAAAUGUUUCUUAAAAUGUACAGUUUGGGCUUUCAGGGUUAUUUUGUAUCUCUAUUUAAUCGUUUUGACUGCUUUGUUGUCAUAAGCAGUAUAUUAGAGCUUAUAUUAACCAAUGAAAAUAUCAUGCCACCUCUGGGUUUGUCUGUCUUACGUUGUGUACGACUUUUGAGGACCUUCAAAGUGACAAGGUAUUGGAAGCGUCUUCAGAAUUUAUUAGGUUCUCUCAUCAACAGUAUUGAAGCCAUAGUUUCCUUAUUGGUAUUACUUUUUCUAUUCCUGGGGAUCUUUGCUCUUUUGGGCACUCAGGUUUUUGGUGGAAAAUAUGUACAGUCUAAGUCUUCUGGGAAAAACCAUUAUUCUCGAGCCAAUUUUGAUUCAUUUUCCCAGAGUCUCUUAUCAGUAUUUCAGAUACUUACGGGUGAGGAUUGGAAUGUUGUGAUGUAUGAUGGGAUUCAAGCCUUUGGUGGCGUUAAUUCUAUUGGAAUAGUUUCGAGUUUAUAUUUUAUAAUUCUUUUUAUCUGUGGUAACUAUAUUCUCCUCAAUGUGUUCUUGGCCAUUGCUGUUGAUAAUUUGGCCGAUGCUGAUGCCCUUGAAGAUGAAGCCGAAAAAGAAGAAGGAGCUGGUCCUCCUGAAGAUGGCGGCGUAGAAGGAGUAGAUAUCCUUGGGGCUAACUCUCAUUGUGGGGGAGAUACAGAGCUGAGACUUUCCCUUGACCAAGAAUACAGCUUGGAGGACUAUGACCAAUAUGCAGAAGCGGGUCAAAACUAUGGCCCAAAUGAUGUAAUACCUUCAGAAGAUGAAUAUUAUCAACAAUGCCCCUCAGGUGCCUCCAAUAACAAUAAUAAUAAUAAUAACAAUAGCAAAAGCCUCAAUAAUGUCACUGCUAUAAGCCCAUCCAGUACCAAAAAAGGGAAACCACUUCCCAAGGAGAGCUCCUUUUUCAUUUUUUCAUCCAAAAAUAGAUUUCGCAUUUUGUGUCACUUCAUUUGCAAUCAUAGUUAUUUUGGUAACAUUGUCUUAGUUUGCAUUAUGGUCUCCUCCGCCAUGUUGGCUGCUGAGGAUCCUUUAAAUUCCAAUUCUGAAAGAAAUAAGAUUCUGAAUUAUUUCGAUUAUUUUUUCACUACAAUAUUCACAAUUGAAGUGUGUUUAAAAGUCAUAUCAUACGGCUUCUUAUUACAUCCGGGAGCAUUUUGUCGUUCAGGAUUUAAUCUUUUAGAUCUCUUAGUUGUUGCUGUGUCUCUUAUAUCCUUUAUAUUUAGUCUUAUGAAGGCCGCUGGAAUUGAAACCCUUAGAAAUUCGGGAGCAAUCUCUGUAGUAAAAAUUCUUCGUGUUCUUCGGGUACUUCGUCCUCUUCGAGCUAUAAACCGUGCCAAGGGUCUCAAACACGUUGUUCAGUGCGUGAUCGUGGCUGUAAAGACUAUUGGAAAUAUCGUAUUAGUAACUCUUCUACUCCAAUUUAUGUUUGCCGUUAUUGGAGUGCAAUUAUUUAAAGGCAAAUUCUUUAUGUGUUCGGAUAAAUCCAAGAUGACAGCUGAGACUUGUCGAGGAAAGUUUAUUGUUUAUAAAGAUGGAGAUCUCAAUCAACCCAUCGUAGAAGAACGGAUUUGGGAAAGAAAUGAUUUCCAUUAUGACAAUGUUGGGAAAGGGCUCCUAACUUUGUUUGUUGUCUCAACCUUUGAAGGAUGGCCAGGGAUCUUAUAUGUUUCGAUUGACUCGAAUGCAGAGGACGUUGGUCCCAUUCAUAAUUAUCGCCCGAUUGUGGCUGUGUUUUAUUUUAUUUAUAUUAUCAUUAUUGCUUUCUUCAUGGUCAAUAUUUUUGUUGGCUUCGUCAUUGUCACUUUUCAGAACGAAGGAGAGUCUGCGUAUAAAAACUGCGAGCUUGAUAAAAAUCAGAGAAAUUGUAUUGAAUUUGCAUUAAAUGCAAAGCCUGUACGACGAUAUAUCCCCAAAAAUCCUAUCCAGUACAAAUUAUGGGCCUUUGUAACCUCACCUGUCUUCGAAUAUACAAUCUUUGCCAUGAUCCUUAUCAACACUCUAUCACUUGCCAUGAAAUUCUAUCAACAACCUCAGACAUAUACGGCUUUUCUUGAUGUACUUAACGUUAUUUUUACAGUAUUCUUUACCUUGGAGUUUGUGUUUAAAUUAGGAGCAUUUCGAUUUAAGAAUUAUUUUGGUGAUCCAUGGAAUAGUUUCGACUUUAUCAUUGUUCUGGGCUCUUUAAUAGAUAUUGCUAUGGCUGAAUUAAACCCUGGAAACAACAUGAUAUCUAUCAAUUUUUUCCGUUUAUUUCGUGUAAUGAGGCUUGUUAAAUUAUUGAGUAAAGGAGAAGGUAUACGAACUUUGCUUUGGACGUUUUUCAAGUCUUUUCAAGCUCUUCCUUGGGUUGCCAUUUUGAUAGGCUUGAUAUUUUUCAUUUAUGGUGUAGUUGGAAUGCAGGUGUUUGGAAAAAUUGCACCUCAGGAAGGCUCUAACAUAAAUCGAAAUAAUAACUUUCAGACGUUUCUUCAGGCCCUUUUAGUUUUGUUUAGAUCUGCUACAGGAGAGGCUUGGCAAGAGAUUAUGUUGUCGUGUAGGAAACAUCCUGAUGUAAUUUGUGAUGAAAGAUCAGAAGAUCGUGGAAACCCAGGUGGCUGUGGAACAGAUUUUGCAUAUCCAUAUUUUAUAUCAUUUUUCGUUGUCUGCUCAUUUCUUAUCCUCAAUCUUUUUGUUGCUGUCAUCAUGGAUAACUUUGACUAUCUCACGCGAGAUUGGUCCAUAUUGGGUCCUCAUCAUUUGGAUGAGUUUGUGAGGUUAUGGUCUGAAUAUGAUCCAGAUGCCAAAGGAAGAAUAAAGCACGUGGAUGUUGUUACUUUGUUGAGGAAAAUAUCUCCACCACUUGGUUUUGGAAAACUUUGUCCUCAUCGAGUUGCUUGCAAGCGACUUGUAUCAAUGAAUAUGCCCCUGAAUUCGGAUGGCUCUGUGAAUUUCAAUGCGACGCUCUUUGCUCUUGUACGUACCUCUUUAUCUAUUAAAACUGAGGGUAAUAUAGAUGAGGCCAACGAAGAGCUCAGGCAUCAAAUUUUGAAAAUAUGGAAACGAACAGAUUUGAAACUUCUUGAUCAAAUUUGUCCAGGUGCAGGCUUGGAAGAUGAGGUGACUGUUGGAAAGUUUUAUGCCACUUUCCUUAUUCAAGACUAUUUCCGUCGGUUCAAGAAGAAGAAGGAAACGAAGAAUUUGAGUGAAAAUGUUGAGUCCCCUACAGAUCAAUCCCUUACUCUUCAAGCAGGACUACGAACCCUUCAUGAAAAAGGUCCGGAGUUGAAAAGAGCCAUAAGUGGUAAUUUGGAGAUUGAAGCAUUGGAUCCCACUUAUGGUUUAGAAGAAUCCUUUGGGGAUCAUUCACAUGAGUCAUCACAGCAUAAAAACAACUAUUUUGGUAAUGUCAUUUCCUCCAUUAAGCACAAGGGUAUGGUUCCUACCACUCCUACUCUCAAUGUCAAUUCCUUGCAACACGCAAAGAUCUCACCAACCAACUCAUUCAAUAGCACUGGACAGCAAAAUUCAUUUAGGAAAAUCCCGGACGAAGAUUUCCCUACGAAUGCUUCAGGAAUUCCUAUGAAACCCGUCAAAUUGGCUAAUGGCGGAUCUCAUGAUCACCGUCCCAGCGAAUGGUGAUUCGUUCGUAGCGACCGGAGGCGUGUCGCGCUCAGUGCCAAAUAGUCCUGGAGAUCGAAGCAAAGGAGCCAACGCCUCGCCAGUACCAGUCGUUGUCGGAUCUGCCGAAAGCUUGGUCGGACGGGUUCUACGCGAUCAAG